AUGGCGUGCUCCGGUCGGCGCGUGGGCGUCCGGUGCAGCGGCACGACACCGCCGGGGUUCCCUCCGGGGCCGACGCCGCCGGGGUUCCCCGCGGUGCCGUCGCCCGAGGAGGUGCCGGGCACGGCCCGCCCGCCAGAGGAGAUGCCGGGCACGGCGAGGCCGCCGCAGGAGAUGCCGGGCAUCGACAUGCCGCCGGAGUUCAACGCGCCCCCGGGCGUGGACGUGCCGAUGCCGGGCGCGCCCGUGCCGGGCACGCCUCCCAGCCCGGAGCAGCCGGGGCCGUUCAUCCCGUCGCCGCCGAGGCCGGAGAUCCCGGCCGUGCCGCCGAACCCCGACGUGAUCCCGCCGCCGCCGCCGGAGGUGGACCCGCCGCGCGCUCCGCCGGAGGUCGUCCCGCCGCAGACGUCCGAUGUCCCGCCUCCCUUUGUGUGA
rnacentral:rRNA from 1 species